AAAUUCAUAUCUCUCUUAUUAUUGGUCCAAAAAUUAUGGGACCAAUUUCAUUCUUCUCCUUUUAAUUUCUACUUUCUAAAAAUGAUUUUUAAUAUUUUUUAUUUCAUCAUUUGAUAUUUUUUAGUAAUUUUCUCUUUUCUGGUUAUUUUAAAUUCAUUUAAAAUAGUUUUUAAUAUCCAAAAAAUACAAAAAUAUUUUUCUAACCUCUUUGAAUGAUGAUAGAUCUAUGAAAAAUAUUCUCAUCAAUUUAUUAAUUGAUUUGAGAUUUAUUUGAGAUUUUA
rnacentral:lncRNA from 1 species